CUGAAAAUGGCUGAACAUUUAUCUGCAAGUGUGAAGCAAAGAAUGAAUUCCUGACUUUGCUUUGCUUGCACACCCAGGUCGUCUCACAUAUAUUUUGAAAUGUUAAGGAGAAAUUAACUUCUAACUGUUGGAGUUUUUCCAGUGAUUUCUAAAUACACAUAGAGAAGCAGUCUGUGUCAUGAAGUGCUUCUAGACUAAAAUAUUUCAUGCUAUGACAUACAACACAAA
rnacentral:lncRNA from 1 species